GACGAACGCUGGCGGCGUGCCUAAUACAUGCAAGUCGAACGCUUCUUUUUCCACCGGAGCUUGCUCCACCGGAAAAAGAGGAGUGGCGAACGGGUGAGUAACACGUGGGUAACCUGCCCAUCAGAAGGGGAUAACACUUGGAAACAGGUGCUAAUACCGUAUAACAAUCGAAACCGCAUGGUUUCGAUUUGAAAGACGCUUUCGGGUGUCGCUGAUGGAUGGACCCGCGGUGCAUUAGCUAGUUGGUGAGGUAACGGCUCACCAAGGCGACGAUCGUUAGCCGGACUGAGAGGUUGAACGGCCACAUUGGGACUGAGACACGGCCCAG
rnacentral:rRNA from 1 species